UACGUAGGGUGCAGGCGUUAAUCGGAAUUACUGGGCGUAAAGCGCACGUAGGCGGAUUUGUAAGUCAGGGGUGAAAUCCCGGGGCUCAACCUCGGAACUGCCUUUGAUACUGCAAAUCUCGAGUCCGGAAGAGGUGAGUGGAAUUCCUAGUGUAGAGGUGAAAUUCGUAGAUAUUAGGAAGAACACCAGUGGCGAAGGCGGCUCACUGGUCCGGUACUGACGCUGAGGUGCGAAAGCGUGGGUAGCAAACAGG
rnacentral:rRNA from 1 species